rnacentral:lncRNA from 1 species
GCCAACCAGGGAAAGGCCAGCCCGGGCCUCUCGGGAUCUCAAGCCCUCGGCCUGUGUGUGUGCCAGAGCUUCCCACAGACUCGGGAAGAAGGUGCCGGAGGCUUGCCGGGCGGCCUUGCGGUUUGAAGCAGUGAGUCACCUUCUGGCUGCAAGUCAAGGAACUCUCACUGCGCCCUUGUUUGGACAAGACGAGGAGGCGCACUCAGAGUCAGAGACCCCGGGGCAGAGACAGGGGCAAGAAGAAGGGGCCACCGAGACCCCAAGAGAGUCAGGGAGACAGACGCACCAAACGACCGACACAACCAGGGACAGGCUGGAGUGAAAUGACAUGAUCUCAGCUCACUGAAACUUCUGCCUCCCAGGUUCAAGCAAUUCUCCUGCCUCAGCCUCGCGAGUAGCUGGGAUUACAGAUAUCCUUCGAGUUGGAUUUCGACUGGGUUCUGCCAGUGGGAUGUAUCCAUGCGAGAUUCUGGAACUAACAUCAGAGAGAGUCCAAGCUUCUAACUUUUAUCAGCGGCAGUGACAAUAGUCAAGCAGCAUUGAUGACAAACGGCAAGAGUUUAGAAAGUACCAGUGACGUGCCUGAUAGAAUCUCACCACAAGAUGGAAGCCAACUCGUCAGAAGCCUGGAAAGCCCACCCAGCGUGGGACCUCUGUGGGUCCAGGAUCUUGGAAUGGUAUCCCAUGGUUCAAUCUUCUGGAUUCAACCACAUAAAUUUACCCCACCCAUGUCGUGGACCCAAGCUUCCUACCAUGUAUACUUAGCUUAAAUGCAAGAUAGUACUAUUUUGUUCAUCUUGAUUGGAGUGAGAAAUGAAUAGGUCCAUGCACAUAUAUUUCUUUUACCACAACAAGAUGAUGAAGAAAUAAAUCCAUAAUAUCGAUACUUUUGUAUAAGUUGUGUUUACAGUUGCGGUAAGAAAUUUUAUAAUUGUUGAUUUGCUUUAUAUAAUUUCUGCUUGCUUUUUAUGAUAUUUAAAACAAAAUCUAAGCAACAAAUUUUAUGUCUGAUUAGAUUUACAGAAGCUGCUUAAGUGCUUAGGGAUAAUUUGUUCAUCAUAUUUGUAAGUCUCCCUUGUUAGGUGUUUGAAGUGUUUGAAUUGGCUAAAUUAAAUUUGUAAUUGUAGUUUGAAAUAUCUAAAGGAAUUUUCUUAAUUAAGUGUUUAAAUGAUGUUAAAAGUUUGUGGGAAUUUAAUCUAUCAAAUUUAUGAGUUAAUUGAAUAUGAAUCAAUGAACAAGUAAAUGUGAUCUUGCUUUUAUAUAAAAACUACUAAGUUCAUAAAUAAAAUACAAAGAUCCAUAAGUUGAGAGGAAAAGCAAAAGAGCCAGAUUCUAAGAUCUAUAACUUAAAAAAAUUAAAUAUUGAUUGAAAUGUAAGUCAUUGCAAUUAUCCCCACUAGCUGAAAUCUCACAUCUGAGUGCUUACACACAAAACAAAAUGUUACCCUGAACAUACUAAACAAAUAAAAAACCACGUGGUAAUUACUAUACACAUGCUCACUGCUGGAAGCA